rnacentral:rRNA from 1 species
AGCGAACGCUGGCGGCAGGCCUAACACAUGCAAGUCGAACGAACUCUUCGGAGUUAGUGGCGGACGGGUGCGUAACACGUGGGAACGUGCCUUUUGGUUCGGAAUAACUCAGGGAAACUUGUGCUAAUACCGAAUGUGCCCUUCGGGGGAAAGAUUUAUCGCCAUUGGAGCGGCCCGCGUCUGAUUAGCUAGUUGGUGAGGUAACGGCUCACCAAGGCGACGAUCAGUAGCUGGUCUGAGAGGAUGACCAGCCACACUGGGACUGAGACACGGCCCAGACUCCUACGGGAGGCAGCAGUGGGGAAUCUUGCGCAAUGGGCGAAAGCCUGACGCAGCCAUGCCGCGUGAAUGAUGAAGGUCUUAGGAUUGUAAAAUUCUUUCACCGGGGACGAUAAUGACGGUACCCGGAGAAGAAGCCCCGGCUAACUUCGUG